rnacentral:rRNA from 1 species
AACGAACGCUGGCGGCAUGCCUAAUACAUGCAAGUCGAACGAUCACUUCGGUGGUAGUGGCGCACGGGUGCGUAACGCGUGGGAAUCUGCCCUUGGGUUCGGAAUAACGUCGGGAAACUGACGCUAAUACCGGAUGAUGAAGUAAGUCCAAAGAUUUAUCGCCCAGGGAUGAGCCCGCGUAGGAUUAGCUAGUUGGUGGGGUAAAGGCUUACCAAGGCGACUAUCCUUAGCUGGUCUGAGAGGAUGAUCAGCCACACUGGGACUGAGACACGGCCCAGACUCCUACGGGAGGCAGCAGUAGGGAAUAUUGGACAAUGGGGGCAACCCUGAUCCAGCAAUGCCGCGUGAGUGAUGAAGGCCUUAGGGUUGUAAAGCUCUUUUACCCGGGAUGAUAAUGACAGUACCGGGAGAAUAAGCCCCGGCUAACUCCGUGGCAGCCGCCGCCGUAA